GUGUCAUACCAGGUAAGUCCUGUUCCUCGCCGAGUGUCAUACCAGGUAAGUCCUGUUCCUCUCCGAGUGUCAUACCAGGUAAGUCCUGUUCCUCUCCGAGUGUCAUACCAGGUAAGUCCUGUUCCUCGCCGAGUGUCAUACCAGGUAAGUCCUGUUCCUCUC